rnacentral:rRNA from 1 species
CCUACGGGAGGCAGCAGUGAGGAAUAUUGGUCAAUGGACGCGAGUCUGAACCAGCCAUGCCGCGUGAAGGAAGACGGCUCUAUGAGUUGUAAACUGCUUUUGUACGGGGGUAAACGCAGAUACGUGUAUCUGUCUGAAAGUAUCGUAAGAAUAAGGAUCGGCUAACUCCGUGCCAGCAGCCGCGGUAAUACGGAGGAUUCGAGCGUUAUCCGGAUUUAUUGGGUUUAAAGGGUGCGUAGGCGGUCGGAUAAGUUAGAGGUGAAAUCCCGAGGCUCAACUGCGGAAUUGCCUUUGAUACUGUUCGGCUAGAGAGUAGUUGCGGUAGGCGGAAUGUAUGGUGUAGCGGUGAAAUGCUUAGAGAUCACACAGAACACCGAUUGCGAGGGCAGCUUACCAAGCUACUUCUGACAUGGAGGCACGAAAGCGUGGGGAUCAAACAGGAUUAGAUACCCGGGUAGUC